CUCCGAAAUAGUGUUGAGUCCGGAAAGCAGCAUCGAGUGUGAUCCAAAAAACAUGAGGUGCUGUUCAUCGAGCUUGCACUGAGCUUCAUUGGAAACCUGCAGUAGGCCAAAGGCAGAGGUCAGAGUGGGAACAAGGUGGAAAAGUAAAAUGACAGGCAACCGGAAAAUCUGGGUUUCACAUGCAGAUUGAAUGAAGGGGUUCUGCAACUUGGUCACUUAAUUUGCUUUUGAUCUCUCCAGUUCAGAGCAGAGCGCAUUCUGGGUACCUUCUAAUCCCAGAACUGACUUUCACGGUGAGGGUUACACUGGAUAUUCCUUCCCUCUAGUCUAAGAUGGGUGAAUCUUCCAGCCUGCUUUAAAUCCUCACAAACUGGGCCUCUUCAAUCUGAGCAUAAGCUCCCACCUGAGUUCUGCAUGGAAAACAGUAGGCUAACCCUGGACUGACGGGUGCCCCAGGACCUUACGAAAGAAAAGGAAAAUAUGUUCUCUACACUGAAACCAUCACAAUAGACAUACCAAGGGCAGAAAACAGAAAAGUAAAUCAAGCCAAAACACAGGCCAUUUUCUUCUUUUCCAAAGAAUUCGAUCCGUCCAGGCUGGAGUUCGACAUUUCUCACUUGUGUCAUAAUCAUCAGAGAACAGGUCAUAUUUAUAAGUUGGUGCAAAAUUUAUUCUGCCUUCUAAAAAUUC